rnacentral:rRNA from 1 species
UACAGAGGGGGCAAGCGUUGUUCGGAAUUACUGGGCGUAAAGGGCGCGUAGGCGGCCUGUUAAGUCGGACGUGAAAUCCCUCGGCUCAACCGGGGAACUGCGUCCGAUACUGGCGGGCUUGAAUUCGGGAGAGGGAUGUGGAAUUCCAGGUGUAGCGGUGAAAUGCGUAGAUAUCUGGAGGAACACCGGUGGCGAAGGCGGCCAACUGGACGAAUACUGACGCUGAGACUCGAAAGCGUGGGGAGCAAACAGG